GAUGAACGCUGGCGGCGUGCCUAAUACAUGCAAGUCGAGCGAACGGACGAGAAGCUUUCUUCUCUGAUGUUAGCGGCGGACGGGUGAGUAACACGUGGAUAACCUACCUAUAAGACUGGGAUAACUUCGCGAAACCGGAGCUAAUACCGGAUAAUAUUUUGAACCGCAUGGUUCAAAAGUUAAAGACGGUCUUGCUGUCACUUAUAGCUUGAUCAGCGCUGCAUUAGCUAGUUGGUAAGGUAACGGCUUACCAAGGCAACGAUGCAUAGCCGACCUCAGAGGGUGAUCGGCCACACUGGAACUGAGACACGGUCGCGACUCCUACGGGAGGCAGCAGUAGGGAAUCUUCCGCGAUGGGCGAAAGCCUGACGGAGCAACGCCGCGGGAGGGAUGAAGGUCUUCGGAUCGUAAAACUCUGUUAUUAGGGAAGAACAUAUGUGUAUGUAACUGUGCAGAUCUUGACGGUACCUAAUGAGAAAGCCACGGCUAACUACGUG
rnacentral:rRNA from 1 species